GUCCACGCCCUAAACGAUGUCAACUGGUUGUUGGUGGGGUUAAACCCAUUAGUAACGAAGCUAACGCGUGAAGUUGACCGCCUGGGGAGUACGGCCGCAAGGUUAAAACUCAAAGGAAUUGACGGGGACCCGCACAAGCGGUGGAUGAUGUGGAUUAAUUCGAUGCAACGCGAAGAACCUUACCUACCCUUGACAUGCCAGGAAGCUUGCUGAGAGGUUAGUGUGCCCGAAAGGGAGCCUGGACACAGGUGCUGCAUGGCUGUCGU
rnacentral:rRNA from 1 species